CCUACGGGUGGCUGCAGUAAGGAAUAUUGGUCAAUGGACGAAAGUCUGAACCAGCCAUGCCGCGUGGAGGAUGAAGGUCCUCUGGAUUGUAAACUUCUUUUAUAUGGGACGAAAAAAGGCCUUUCUAGGCCGUCUGACGGUACCAUAUGAAUAAGCACCGGCUAACUCCGUGCCAGCAGCCGCGGUAAUACGGAGGGUGCCGGCUUUAUUCGGAUUAAAGGGUGCGUAAGGGUGUUGAUAAGUCAGGGGUGAAAUCUCCGAGCUUAACUUGGAAACUGCCAUUGAUACUAUUAAUCUUGAAUAUUGUGGAGGUUAGCGGAAUAUGUCAUGUAGCGGUGAAAUGCUUAGAUAUGACAUAGAACACCAAUUGCGAAGGCAGCUGGCUACACAUAUAUUGACACUGAGGCACGAAAGCGUGGGGAUCAAACAGGAUUAGAUACCCCUGUAGUC
rnacentral:rRNA from 1 species